rnacentral:rRNA from 1 species
CGGGCAAUUGCGGCAUUGAUACCUCCGCAUGAUGGAGAUUAUACCUCUACCAGAGAAUCAAUUGGAGGGCAAGUCUGGUGCCAGCAGCCGCGGUAAUUCCAGCUCCAAUAGCGUAUAUUAAAAUUGUUGCAGUUAAAAAGCUCGUAGUUGAAUUUCUGCUGCAUUGCUUUUGCUCCUUUACGAGUCUUUGCAUUGUGGCUUAUUUCGGACUUUGUUUUACAAUGUCCGGAUGUUUACUUUGAGAAAAUUAGAGUGCUCAAAGCAGGCUUUCGCCUUGAAUAGUUUAGCAUGGAAUAAUAAAGUAGGACUUUGGUUCUAUUUUGUUGGUUUUAGGUACCAAAGUAAUGGUUAAUAGGAACAGUUGGGGGCAUUCGUAUUUAACUGUCAGAGGUGAAAUUCUUAGAUUUGUUAAAGACGAACUACUGCGAAAGCAUUUGCCAAGGAUGUUUUCAUUAAUCAAGAACGAAAGUUAGGGGAUCGAAGAA